rnacentral:tRNA from 1 species
ACUUUAAUAAUAUAAAAAUUAUAUUUGACUUCCAAUCAAAAAAUCUGUUCCUACAGUUUAAGUA